GACGAACGCUGGCGGCGUGCUUAACACAUGCAAGUCGAACGGAAAGGCCCUGCUUUUGUGGGGUGCUCGAGUGGCGAACGGGUGAGUAACACGUGAGUAACCUGCCCUUGACUUUGGGAUAACUUCAGGAAACUGGGGCUAAUACCGGAUAGGAGCUCCUGCUGCAUGGUGGGGGUUGGAAAGUUUCGGCGGUUGGGGAUGGACUCGCGGCUUAUCAGCUUGUUGGUGGGGUAGUGGCUUACCAAGGCUUUGACGGGUAGCCGGCCUGAGAGGGUGACCGGUUACAUUGGGACUGAGAUACGGCCCAGACUCCUACGGGAGGCAGCAGUGGGGAAUAUUGCACAAUGGGCGGAAGCCUGAUGCAGCAACGCCGCGUGCGGGAUGACGGCCUUCGGGUUGUAAACCGCUUUCGCCUGUGACGAAGCGUGAGUGACGGUAAUGGGUAAAGAAGCACCGGCUAACUACGUG
rnacentral:rRNA from 1 species